UUAACUGAAACCAAAAAGAGGUAUAUUAUUGUUAAUAAUAAAAUUGAAUUAAAAAUCCAGUUAAG
rnacentral:tRNA from 1 species